GACGGGGGGAGCAAGCGUUGUUCGGAUUUACUGGGCGUAAAGGGCGUCUAGGCGGGUCGGUUAGUCAGAUGUGAAAUCCCACGGCUCAACCGUGGAAUUGCAUUUGAUACUGCCGGUCUUGAGUACGGAAGAGGAAAGCGGAAUUCCUGGUGUAGCGGUGAAAUGCGUAGAUAUCAGGAAGAACACCGGUGGCGAAGGCGGCUUUCUGGUCCGAUACUGACGCUGAAGCGCGAAAGUGUGGGGAGCAAACAGGAUUAGAUACCCCGGUA
rnacentral:rRNA from 1 species